rnacentral:rRNA from 1 species
GAUGAACGCUGGCGGCAUGCCUAACACAUGCAAGUCGAACGAAGCACAUGAGACAGCUUGCUGAGGAUUGUGACUUAGUGGCGAACGGGUGAGUAAUGCAUGAGCAACCUGCCCUUCAGUGGGGGACAACAGUUGGAAACGACUGCUAAUACCGCAUAACACUUCCGAAAGGCAUCUUUUGGAAGUCAAAGAUUUAUUGCUGAAGGAUGGGCUCAUGUCUGAUUAGCUAGUUGGUAGGGUAACGGCCUACCAAGGCGACGAUCAGUAGCCGGUCUGAGAGGAUGAACGGCCACAUUGGGACUGAGAUACGGCCCAG